AUGGUGUUUUCAAUGUACGCAUUGUAUGUUCGAAUAGCUUAAACGUUUAAACAGUAUUUCACGAAUUCUUUCUUUUAUCAUGUGGGCUGAUACUAUUUUAAUCGUAUUUAUUAGUAUUUGUACAGCUUUAUUAGGAGAAGGUUUAACAUGGUUGAUGGUUUAUAGAACAGAAAAAUACCAAAAAUUAAAAGCUGAAGUAGAAAAACAAAGUAAAAGACUGGAAAAAAGAAAAGAAGCACACGGAGAUUCAUUAGAUAAACAACAAAAAAAGAAGAUUGAACGGGAAGAAGAAAGAUUAAAAAACAAUAACAGGGAUUUGUCUCUUGUAAAAAUGAAAUCAAUGUUUGCAAUUGGAUUUGCAUUCACAGCUCUCCUUAGUAUGUUUAACAGCAUUUUUGAUGGCAGAGUUGUGGCAAGGUUGCCUUUUGUACCCAUUAGUUGGAUACAAGGUUUAUCACAUAGGAACCUUCCAGGAGAUGACUAUACAGAAUGUUCAUUUAUUUUUUUAUAUAUACUGUGUACGAUGAGUAUUAGACAGAAUAUUCAAAAAAUGCUUGGAUUUGCACCCUCUAGAACUGCAAGUAAACAGAGUGGAAGUAUUUUUGGUCCACCACCUCAACAAUUUAAAUGAACUUAAAUCAUUAUAUUGUAAAUUCAAUAUUUUAUGAUUCAUUGUGUAAUUAUUAUUUAAAUUUUGAUACCAUACUUGAUAAAUAUAUAAAAUUAACGAAAUAGACAAUUAUAAACACAAAAACGAUGUUUUGAUGUAACAGUAAAAAGAUAAAUUAGAAAUAUUUAAAAAUAAAUAGAGAAAAUAAUAUAUACAUGUUAUAAAAAUGUUAUAAAGGAAGUCUUUCAAUUUAAUAAUGCAGCAUAUUUUAGAAAAUAGGUAUGACUCAUGUAUUCCAUCAAGCAGCUCUUAUACAACAAUCAAUGUUAUAUACAAACAUAACGAUCAAUCAUAUACAAAAAAAUAACCACUACCUUUAAUUCAUAAAAAAUAUUUAAUACAAUAAUAGUAUAUCAGUGAUCUAUUUCAUGAAGCACAUGACCAAAUUUAUAAGUGAAAAUGUACUCUAUGAAUAUUAGACCUCUGAAUUUAACUACUUUAAAUCAUACAUACA